rnacentral:rRNA from 1 species
AGAGUUUGAUCCUGGCUCAGGAUGAACGCUAGCGACAGGCUUAACACAUGCAAGUCGAGGGGCAGCACAGGUAGCAAUACCGGGUGGCGACCGGCGCACGGGUGAGUAACGCGUAUGCAACUUACCUAUCAGAGGGGGAUAACCCGGCGAAAGUCGGACUAAUACCGCAUGAAGCAGGGGCCCCGCAUGGGGAUAUUUGCUAAAGAUUCAUCGCUGAUAGAUAGGCAUGCGUUCCAUUAGGCAGUUGGCGGGGUAACGGCCCACCAAACCGACGAUGGAUAGGGGUUCUGAGAGGAAGGUCCCCCACAUUGGUACUGAGACACGGACCAAACUCCUACGGGAGGCAGCAGUGAGGAAUAUUGGUCAAUGGACGAGAGUCUGAACCAGCCAAGUAGCGUGAAGGAUGACUGCCCUAUGGGUUGUAAACUUCUUUUAUAAAGGAAUAAAGUCGGGUAUGCAUACCCGUUUGCAUGUACUUUAUGAAUAAGGAUCGGCUAACUCCGUGCCAGCAGCCGCGGUAAUACGGAGGAUCCGAGCGUUAUCCGGAUUUAUUGGGUUUAAAGGGUGCGUAGGCGGCCUUUUAAGUCAGCGGUGAAAGUCUGUGGCUCAACCAUAGAAUUGCCGUUGAAACUGGGGGGCUUGAGUAUGUUUGAGGCAGGCGGAAUGCGUGGUGUAGCGGUGAAAUGCUUAGAUAUCACGCAGAACCCCGAUUGCGAAGGCAGCCUGCCAAGCCAUGACUGACGCUGAUGCACGAAAGCGUGGGGAUCAAACAGGAUUAGAUACCCUGGUAGUCCACGCAGUAAACGAUGAUCACUAGCUGUUUGCGAUACAGUGUAAGCGGCACAGCGAAAGCGUUAAGUGAUCCACCUGGGGAGUACGCCGGCAACGGUGAAACUCAAAGGAAUUGACGGGGGCCCGCACAAGCGGAGGAACAUGUGGUUUAAUUCGAUGAUACGCGAGGAACCUUACCCGGGCUUAAAUUGCAGAUGAAUUACGGUGAAAGCCGUAAGCCGCAAGGCAUCUGUGAAGGUGCUGCAUGGUUGUCGUCAGCUCGUGCCGUGAGGUGUCGGCUUAA